rnacentral:rRNA from 1 species
UGAGGAAUAUUGGUCAAUGGACGAGAGUCUGAACCAGCCAAGUAGCGUGCAGGAUGACGGCCCUAUGGGUUGUAAACUGCUUUUGUAUGGGGAUAAAGUCAAUCACGUGUGAUUGUUUGCAGGUACCAUACGAAUAAGGACCGGCUAAUUCCGUGCCAGCAGCCGCGGUAAUACGGAAGGUCCGGGCGUUAUCCGGAUUUAUUGGGUUUAAAGGGAGCGUAGGCUGGAGAUUAAGUGUGUUGUGAAAUGUAGACGCUCAACGUCUGAAUUGCAGCGCAUACUGGUUUCCUUGAGUACGCACAACGUUGGCGGAAUUCGUCGUGUAGCGGUGAAAUGCUUAGAUAUGACGAAGAACUCCGAUUGCGAAGGCAGCUGACGGGAGCGCAACUGACGCUUAAGCUCGAAGGUGCGGGUAUCGAACAGGAUUAGAUACCCUGGUAGUCCGCACAGUAACGAUGGAUGCCCGCUGUUGGUACCUGGUAUCAGCGGCUAAGCGAAAGCAUUAAGCAUCCCACCUGGGGAGUACGCCGGCAACGGU